AUUAAUAAUGUUGUGUGUGCCUUUUAAAUGUGGCGCGGGAGGUGACAGUGGCGCUGCCAUUUGUGAGGCUCCGGUCCUGUUCCGCAAGGUGUUCCACUAUUCACCCAGCAGCCGGUGAAGGUGGACGUGGGUGUCCCGGCGGAGGAACACAUUUCGUCUUAUUCUCACUGGAGCUCAACCUACCUGAGUAUGAUGGCUGCACCUGUCCAAUUCAGCUCCUCGUCACGGGAAUGCGCAAGUCUUUACCGCGACAAGAGUAAUGUAAUAAAGUGUGACUUGCCAUCAAUCCUCCAGUUGAGAUAUGAAUAGAGGCUGGCACCACCAUCCACCCUGAAGGUUGCUCCAGUGAUGAAGGCAGCUCCUGGGCUGAGGAGAAAGCAUACUGUGCUUGCCACCUGUGGGAAAGAAGAAACCUAAGUAAUUCCUAUUUGUAUGAGUCUAAAAUGCUUGCUAAGGGCAAAAAUUACCUUUACAAAGUUUAUAACAUCCAGACUCAACUUUCUCAUGGUCUUACAUCCAAAGGUGUUUAGGGUACAAUUUACCCAGUUAAUGACAGAAUGCCAACAUGAUGGGCUUAAUAGUUACAGUUGUGGCCACAAAUCCAGUAACCUUGUACAGUAUGUACAUCAAAUUUGAGUAUUUAUUUAUUUUAUUUUUUCAUUUAUUUAUCUAUUUUUAUUUAUUCAUUUUUUUUUUUUUUUUUUUAUAUAUUCAUUGUGCAUUCAAUCUCACUUGUCCAGUUAUAAUGAAGUUUGAAGGUGAAGUUUUGCAUUCAUAAUCAGUAUAUGAUGAAUGUGUCUAUAUAACUUAUUUCUACUUUUAAUGUCAGGAACAGGAUUUUUUUUUCAGUAGGGUGUUUAGACAGAUUGGGACAACUAUAUGGCCAGGUUAGAAGAAUAAUAGCACUGUAUUUUCUGUACAUUGUAAAGGUGCCUAGAGGGUCAGAUUGAGAGAGACUAUAUUCAAUUUAUUCCUAGCUCACAAGUGAAUCAUAGGCUACUUCAAUAAUUUCUUAUCACUGAUUGCUCCAUGGCUCAAUAAGCCUGUUUCCUACUC